rfam:Stentor coeruleus isolate WM001 SteCoe_contig_530, whole genome shotgun sequence.
GCAUCAGUAGUUUAGGGGUAGAAUGGGACGUUGCCAUCGUCUCGACCCGGGUUCAAUUCCCGGCUGGUGCA